rnacentral:misc_RNA from 1 species
GAUGAAGAACGUAGCGAAAUGCGAUAAGUAAUGUGAAUUGCAGAAUUCAGUGAAUCAUCGAAUCUAUGAACGCACAUUGCGCCCGCCAGUAUUCUGGCGAGCAUGCCUGUUCGAGCGUCAUUUCAACCAUCAAGCCCCAGGCUUGUGUUGGAGCCCUGCGGCUGCCGCAGCCUCCCAAAACCAGUGGCGGGCUCGCUAUCACACCGAGUGCAGUAGUUUACUCUUCGCUCAGGGCGUGUGGCGGGUGCUAGCCGUGAAACCCCCAACUUCUCAAGGUUGACCUCGGAUCAGGUAGGAAUACCCGCUGAACUUAAGCAUAUCAAUAAGCGGAGGA